UUUCAAAGGCUAAGCCAUGCACGUCUAAGUACAUACUUUCAAUACAAGUGAAACCGCGAAUGGCUCAUUAAAUCAGUUACAGUUCCUUGGGGCCUGAUUCAUUUCAUCAUGAAAUACACGGAUAACUGUGGUAAUUCUAGAGCUAAUACGUGCCCAAAAUCGGACUCUUUACGAGUUCGUGCGUUUGUUAGCCUAAAAGCCACUGGUGUUUACGGGUAAAACCGUAUUCACUGACCCAUCCAGGAACAAAAACAACCACGCUGAUCCUAUUGCCUUUGUGCAAAGGACGUACCCAGCAAGUGUCUGCCUUAUCAACUUUCGAUGGUACUCUAUACGGCUACCAUGGUGAUCACGGGUAACGGGGAAUCAGAGUUCGAUUCCGGAGAGGGAGCCUGAGAAACGGCUACCACAUCCAAGGAAGGCAGCAGGCACGCAAAUUACCCACUCCCGGAUAGGGGAGGUAGUGACGAAAAAUAACAAUGCGAGACUCUUAAGAGGCCUCGUAAUUGGAAUGAGAAAAGUUUAAAUACCUCAUACGAGGAUCAAUUGGAGGGCAAGUCUGGUGCCAGCAGCCGCGGUAAUUCCAGCUCCAAUAGCGUAUAUUAAAGUUGUUGCGUUUAAAACGCUCGUAGUUGAAACUUGUAGUUGAGUAUGGCAUGACUUGUCGUUAGUUUGCCUGAGCAGGGUGGUGAAGCGGGUGGGUGUUUUCAUCGCAAGGUGUUGCAUUCUCUCGUCUAAGCCUCUUGUUUCAGCCUACGGCAAUCGCCAUCUACUCACUACUGUUGCUUGCAGCAGACUCGUGCCUUUCAUCGGGUGCAGUCAUCGUUGUAAGCAGGUUACUUUGACAAAACAAGAGUGCUCAACGCGGGCAAUACGAGUAUUCGAUAUGCUUGAAUUUUUUCCAGCAUAGAAUAACGAAACAUGGUGUGAGACCAGCUGCGGACCGUAUGCUCAGUCUGCUUUCAUGUUCCGUCAAAAGUUCAUGCAYAGCGUCUGUGUCAUGCACCACAGCAGAGCGUUUCGUUGGCUUCGUUCCUCACACAAUGAUCAAUAGGAGCAGACGGGAGCAUUUGUACUACGAGGCUAGAGGUGAAAUUCUUGGACCCUCGUAUGACAAACAACAGCGAAAGCAUUUGCUAAGGAUGUUUUCAUUAAUCAAGAACGAAAGUUAGAGGAUCGAAGGCGAUCAGAUACCGCCCUAGUUCUAACCAUAAACGAUGCCAUCUCGUAAUCAGCUUGGGUGCUACAAAAUUUCAAAUUAUUGACCCAGCUGGAGACUCCGGGAAACCAAAGUUUGGUUACGGGGGAAGUACGGUUGCAAAGCUGAAACUUAAAGGAAUUGACGGAAGGGCACCACCAGGAGUGGAGCCUGCGGCUUAAUUUGACUCAACACGGGAAAAUUUACCAGGUCCGAACACUGUAAGGAUGGACAGAUUGAGAGCUCUUUCUUGAUUCAGUGGGUGGUGGUGCAUGGCCGUUCUUAGUUCGUGGAGUGAUUUGUCUGGUUGAUUCCGAUAACGAACGAGACUUUUACCAGGUGGUUGUCUUAGGGCGCAAGCCCAUCGGAGUGUGGUAUUGGUAUUCCAAACCCUUGGCUGUGGUGUGGAGCAGUGUUGCGCUGAAAGGUGUACACWUUGUUACGCAUCCGCCUUGUGGGCCUAUUACCCCAUUCCAAGUCACGCACCGGUACAGGCUACGAUUCAAGUAGUACGAGAAAAAGCAAUAACAGGUCUGUGAUGCCCUUAGAUGUUCUGGGCUGCACGCGUGCUACACUGAAGUGUGCAACGAGUAACGGUUAUGCCGUACUUGCUUGUCUGUCGUGCCUUAAAAACACGGCGCAAGUGAGCGGUAGCCACCCUGGUGAGAAGUCAUCAGGUAACCUUUGCAAUGCACUUCGUGAUAGGGAUAGGGCUUUGUAAUUAUAGCCCUUGAACGAGGAAUCCCUCGUAAGCGUGAGUCACUAUCUCGCGUUGAAUACGUCCCUGCCCUUUGUACACACCGCCCGUCGCUACUACCGAUUGAAUGAUUUAUUGAGAACUUUGGAGGAACUGACUGUGGUGAUGCGCAAGUAUCCUAUGGUCGGUUGACGAAGAUGUUCAAAAUAUGUCAUUUAGAGGAAGUAAAAGUCGUAA
rnacentral:rRNA from 1 species